rnacentral:rRNA from 1 species
AACGAACGCUGGCGGCAUGCCUAACACAUGCAAGUCGAACGAGACCUUCGGGUCUAGUGGCGCACGGGUGCGUAACGCGUGGGAACCUGCCCUUAGGUUCGGAAUAACUCCCCGAAAGGGGUGCUAAUACCGGAUAAUGUCUUCGGACCAAAGAUUUAUCGCCUUUGGAUGGGCCCGCGUUGGAUUAGCUAGUUGGUAGGGUAAAAGCCUACCAAGGCGACGAUCCAUAGCUGGUCUGAGAGGAUGAUCAGCCACACUGGGACUGAGACACGGCCCAGACUCAUACGGGAGGAAGCAGUGGGGAGUAUUGGACAAUGGGCGAAGGCCUGAUCCAGCAAUGCCGCGUGAGUGAUGAAGGCCUUAGGGUGGUAAAGCUCUUUUACAAGGGAUGAUAAUGACAGUACCGGGAGAAUAAGCUCCGGCUAACUCCGUG